rnacentral:lncRNA from 1 species
GCAGCGGGUCAUCUUCCAGCAACUCAGGUCAUCAUCAGCCGAGAACACCGUCGGACGUCGUUAGCUGCGACCUACUUCUCUCUUUUUAUUUACUCCCCAUAUUAGAGUUGAGAGGUCAAGCUUCGUAAAGUUUGAUCAAAUUUAUGAAAAAAAUACAAAUAUUUACCAUAACCAAUUCAUAUUAUGUGAAAAUACAUUCAAUAAUGAAUCCAACGAUACUGAAUUUGGUAUUGUAUAUGUUAUUAUCUUUGUUUAGGUUUAUAAAGCUUGGCUUUGAUCAAAGCUAAUAUGUGAAGUAAA